AGUGGCGGACGGGUGAGUAACGCGUAAGAAUCUAACUUCAGGACGGGGACAACAGUUGGAAACGACUGCUAAUACCCGAUAUGCCGCGAGGUGAAACCUAAUUGGCCUGAAGAAGAGCUUGCGUCUGAUUAGCUAGUUGGUGGGGUAAGAGCCUACCAAGGCGACGAUCAGUAGCUGGUCUGAGAGGAUGAGCAGCCACACUGGGACUGAGACACGGCCCAGACUCCUACGGGAGGCAGCAGUGGGGAAUUUUCCGCAAUGGGCGAAAGCCUGACGGAGCAACGCCGCGUGAGGGAGGAAGGUCUUUGGAUUGUAAACCUCUUUUCUCAAGGAAGAAGUUCUGACGGUACUUGAGGAAUCAGCCUCGGCUAACUCCGUGCCAGCAGCCGCGGUAAUACGGGGGAGGUAAGCGUUAUCCGGAAUUAUUGGGCGUAAAGCGUCCGCAGGUGGUCAGCCAAGUCUGCCGUCAAAUCAGGUUGCUUAACGACCUAAAGGCGGUGGAAACUGGCAGACUAGAGAGCAGUAGGGGUAGCAGGAAUUCCCAGUGUAGCGGUGAAAUGCGUAGAGAUUGGGAAGAACAUCGGUGGCGAAAGCGUGCUACUGGGCUGUAUCUGACACUCAGGGACGAAAGCUAGGGGAGCGAAAGGGAUUAGAUACCCCUGUAGUCCUAGCCGUAAACGAUGGAUACUAGGCGUGGCUU
rnacentral:rRNA from 1 species